AUGUUUUGAUUUCUCUUCAUAUCUAAUAAAUCUUUCGUUUGUUGCUAAAGAUUUCCGUAGAGAGAAACAAGCUUGAUAACAUAUAUAUAUAUAUGACACAUAAUAACUUCAUUAAGU